GGACAGGUGGUGCAUGGUUGUCGUCAGCUCGUGUCGUGAGAUGUUGGGUUAAGUCCCGCAACGAGCGCAACCCUUGUCUUUAGUUACCAUCAUUCAGUUGGGGACUCUAGAGAGACUGCCGGUGAUAAACCGGAGGAAGGUGGGGAUGACGUCAAAUCAUCAUGCCCCUUAUGACCUGGGCUACACACGUACUACAAUGGCGCAUACAACGAGCUGCGAGAUGGUGACAUCAAGCGAAUCUCUUAAAAUGCGUCUCAGUUCAGAUUGGAGUCUGCAACUCGACUCCAUGAAGUCGGAAUCGCUAGUAAUCGCGGAUCAGCAUGCCGCGGUGAAUACGUUCUCGGGGUUU
rnacentral:rRNA from 1 species